GGUUUCUGGUAAUCGCGGUUUGCCAUUAGGCAGGCUGAGGAAAGUCCAAGCUUGCACAGACUGAGAUGUCUGUAGUGAUCGUGCUUGCUGAAAAAAUAAGGCAAGGUAUCCUGAUAAGGAUAACGGCAGAUAAAAGGACUAAGGCUCUGCUAUGUCUGAGUAGUCUUGAAAGUGCCACAGUGACGAAGCAACAUUGGAAACGGUGUUGGUGGAACGCGGUAAACCCCACGAGCAGGUAACCCAAACUUUGGUAGGGGCGCUUCAUGACGGAAAUGAACAAAUCAUGGGGGCGAAUCUUAUAGAUUCGGAGAUAGAUGAUUACCACCGAUUUUGACUCCUGGGUCGAAUGACGUACGGAACGUGGCUUAUAGAG
rnacentral:RNase_P_RNA from 2 species